rnacentral:rRNA from 1 species
AAGAGACAGCAGUCGCCGCGGGAAUACGGAGGGUGCAAGCGUUAAUCGGAAUUACUGGGCGUAAAGCGCACGCAGGCGGUCUGUCAAGUCGGAUGUGAAAUCCCCGGGCUCAACCUGGGAACUGCAUUCGAAACUGGCAGGCUAGAGUCUUGUAGAGGGGGGUAGAAUUCCAGGUGUAGCGGUGAAAUGCGUAGAGAUCUGGAGGAAUACCGGUGGCGAAGGCGGCCCCCUGGACAAAGACUGACGCUCAGGUGCGAAAGCGUGGGGAGCAAACAGGAUUAGAUACCCCGGUAGUCCCUGUCUCUUAUAC